GUACGAAAACUCACACCGUGUGAAGCCACGGCCAGUAGCACUGCCAGUACCAUUGCCCGUACGGUAGCAAGUAAGAAAAUCCAGUUAGAAAUCCAGUAAGAAAAAACGUAUUGUCUGCGACAGGCUUUAUUGACCCGACUUCUGGUAGAAGUAACGGUAUCGUUUUCAUUCCCUGCAAAUGUGGCUGUUAAUUUCAAAUCUGUACCCCCUCCCGGAUUUGUCGUAGAUUCUAAGGCACUAUUAGAGUUGGAAGCGGAGAGUUCUUCAAAUUGUUGAAACACGGACAAAGGAGCGGACGGGAUUCCUGAAGAAUCCGGUGUUUUGUUGGGAUGAGAAGGAGGGUUCCGGGUGAGAGUCCCGGUGGACGAACGCCCAAGCCCCCCGCCCGGGUCCCGAUCCGCUAUGAUGCCAGCUAGGCGGUAGCCGGCCUAGCUAGAAAAUCAGCGAUCCGCGCGAAAACACUCGAUGACAACGGAAAGAUUGUUAGAUUCAAAGAAUCCAGCAAAUAUUGUAAUUGAAACUUGAAAUUAUGCAAUGAAGAACAAUUCAGAUGAUUGGUUUUAUUCAACAGUCUAUAUGUAAAAACGAUGGGACAACGCUGCUUUCGAAUAAAGUUCACAAUCCGAA